GGAUUAGAUACCCUGGUAGUCCACGCCGUAAACGAUGAGAACUAGGUGCAGCGGAUAUUGACCUCUGCUGUGCCGUAGCUAACGCGUUAAGUUCUCCGCCUGGGGAGUACGGCCGCAAGGCUAAAACUCAAAGGAAUUGACGGGGGCCCGCACAAGCAGUGGAGCAUGUGGUUUAAUUCGAAGCAACGCGCAGAACCUUACCAGGGCUAGAAAAACGGAGAAUCCUGACGAAACUCGGGAGUGCUCGCAAGAGAACUCCGGUCCAGGUGCUGCAUGGCUGUCGUCAGCUCGUGCCG
rnacentral:rRNA from 1 species